ensembl:lncRNA
UUCCUAAUGUAAGAUCCUUAAUCGAACUAGUAUUUGCAUGCCUAAAAAUUAAACCAUAUAUGCCGGCCAUGUGCAAUAAAAGUUUUUUCCUGCUUGCUGUUUUAUAGAUCAAACAGCUAUUAUCUUGAUUGGAGUCCUCGUGCCCCUUGGCAUCAUCCUCAUAGUCACAGCAACUGUGUGCAUUUACAAGAAGUGCAGCCGCAAAAAGAUAAAUUAUGAAUCAAGUACAUUAGAGUUGAACAAAAAGGCAGGUAUGUGGUAACUGAUUAUUAUACUUUUUUCUUUCUAAAAAGAAAACAACAACUAUGAAAUGUGCAAUGCGAGUUGUAAAUUGAGCAUUUCUAAAUUUGUCCACAGAUCAACCCUAUGAAACUCUAGAUGAGGGUAAGAAGCAGGAAACAGACAACAGUGUGCUGAAGGCCACAACAUUCUGAAGCAAAACCUCAGUUUUUUUGACAAUGAUUUGCUGACAAUAUUUUGUUUAUAUUUAUUCACUUUAAAUAUCUUUGUGAAAUAUGUGAACUAACAGGCAAAACCUAUGUUUAUAUUUUACUUUUUAAAAAAUUUUCAGUAACUUAUUUGUAAACAUCGUUGUAAUUUUUGGUGUUAGCUAUGUUAUGAUUUGGGGAAUGAGUGCAAUUAUCAAAUGUGUAUGAACAUCAGAUUUUUCUUCUGAAAAUAUUUUAUGUGCUUUAUUUUUUAUUAUUUUAAAUAAAUUAUCAAAACAAUUUAUGCCCUAGCUGCUUUUAUUUAACUUGUUCAAGUGCAACAAUCCAAUAACCCACAACAUUUUCAAGUGCAAAGCAGCAGUUCAUAGAAGAGAAAAGUAAAAAUGGUCUUGCUUGACCAGCUAUCUAAAUGAUUGAGUUCCACAAGGACUGUACUCCAGAAGAGCUUCUUGGUGAGUCUUGGCAAUUCAAAAAUGUCUGAAAGUCCAAACAAACAAUACAAGAGCAUUGCCUCAGCUCUGAUACCUUUUGUAUAACUUCUAACCUCAAGCUAUUUAUACAGACUGGGAGUAAAUCCAAUGGUUAAGAGUAGCCAAUUAACAAUUGUUCUGUGAUUUGCCUUGUCAAGAGGCUAAAAAAAAGAAUCCAAAUGUUUUUGAAGUUUUGAGUUUUUGAUCCAUGCAGUUCAGGAAAACAUCAGUGCCAGUCACCAGUCCUUUGAACAUUCCUUCUUUUUCCUCCAAAAAACAAGUUACAAAAAAAUAAAAUAAACAUGAUAGUCCAAAUCUUUUUGUUCAUAAAUGAUCUUAUCCUGCCAAGCAACUUUUCUUCACACGUUGUCAAUGUAAAAUAAUUAUUAGAUAGUCCAAAACAAGAAAAAUUACAAGUGAAUUUAGAAUUAAAAAAUUUAAAUAAGUCACAGUGUUUGUAUUAAAACAUAUUAUCUACAUCCACAAUGCGGUUUUGGAUAAUUGUUACAUUUCCGCAGGAUAAGAAGUCUGUCUAAAUAUUUCAGUCCGAAAAAAUUAAACAUUCAAUAUCCUAUAAUCGGACACAAUAUAAAACCAUGUGCAACAUUCAACAAUAAAGGAAAAGGUUCUUCAGUCCCAAGGAUUAAUCAGUAGUCCUCACAUCUGCACAGAAAUGUAAACAUUGAUAAAAGAAAUCAAUCGUAACCCCAUUAAAUGGCACAAUGGGGUGACGCUUUAAGCCAGUUGAUUAUUGAUUAUCACUACAGCCUGAGGGGUUGUACAUAUCAAGCUCUCUGUUA